rnacentral:rRNA from 1 species
UACGUAGGGGGGCAAGCGUUGUCCGGAAUCAUUGGGCGUAAAGAGCGUGUAGGCGGCUCGGUAAGUCCGCUGUGAAAGUCCAGGGCUCAACCCUGGAAUGCCGGUGGAAACUGUCGAGCUAGAGUCCGGAAGAGGCGAGUGGAAUUCCUGGUGUAGCGGUGAAAUGCGCAGAUAUCAGGAAGAACACCAAUGGCGAAGGCAGCUCUCUGGGACGGUACUGACGCUGAGACGCGAAAGCGUGGGGAGCGAACAGG